rnacentral:rRNA from 1 species
GACGAACGCUGGCGGCGUGCUUAACACAUGCAAGUCGAACGAUGAUGCUGGAGCUUGCUCCAGUUGAUUAGUGGCGAACGGGUGAGUAACACGUGAGCAAUCUGCCCUUGACUCUGGGAUAACUGCGGGAAACUGUAGCUAAUACCGGAUACUUUCACCGGAAGGCAUCUUCUGGUGAUGAAAGAAUUUCGGCCAAGGAUGGACUCGCGGCCUAUCAGCUAGUUGGUGAGGUAAAGGCUCACCAAGGCGACGACGGGUAGCCGGCCUGAGAGGGUGACCGGCCACACUGGGACUGAGACACGGCCCAGACUCCUACGGGAGGCAGCAGUGGGGAAUAUUGCACAAUGGGCGCAAGCUUGAUGCAGCAACGCCGCGUGAGGGAUGACGGCCUUCGGGUUGUAAACCUCUUUUAGCAGGGAAGAAGCGAAAGUGACGGUACCUGCAGAAAAAGCACCGGCUAACUACGUGCCAGCCGCCGCAGAAA